rnacentral:rRNA from 1 species
GACGAACGCUGGCGGCGUGCCUGAUACAUGCAAGUAGAACGCACAGUUUAUACCGUAGCUUGCUACACCAUAAACUGUGAGUUGCGAACGGGUGAGUAACGCGUAGGUAGCCUGCCUGGUAGCGGGGGAUAACUAUUGGAAACGAUAGCUAAUACCGCAUAAUAUUGAUUAUUGCAUGAUAAUUGAUUGAAAGAUGCUAUUGCAUCACUACCAGAUGGACCUGCGUUGUAUUAGCUAGUAGGUGAGGUAACGGCUCACCUAGGCGACGAUACAUAGCCGACCUGAGAGGGUGAUCGGCCACACUGGGACUGAGACACGGCCCAGACUCCUACGGGAGGCAGCAGUAGGGAAUCUUCGGCAAUGGACGAAAGUCUGACCGAGCAACGCCGCGUGAGUGAAGAAGGUUUUCGGAUCGUAAAGCUCUGUUGUAAGAGAAGAACGGGUGUGAGAGUGGAAAGUUCACACUGUGACGGUAUCUUACCAGAAAGGGACGGCUAACUACGUG